rnacentral:misc_RNA from 1 species
UUGUAUAAUUUUCUUUGAGUAAAUGUUAUACAUAAAAUAUUUGAGUAUUUUUUUGGCAUUAAACACAUUAUUGUAUUUUACAUUAAUUUAUAAGGGAAAAAUUGUUUUGCUUAAUGAGUGCUUCGCAUUACGAGUGAGAUUCUGGAACAAAUUAUGCUCAUUAAGUAAGGUUCCACUGUAUUUUUGAAACAUAUCUUGUCCAAAAUUUUUAAAAUUGAGCUAUCAAUUACUUCAGAUUUGUUCCUUUUAUUUCUUCUUUAAUUUUGUUUCAAAACAGAGUUUAAACUGUGAAAAAUUUCUUUCUUAUAUGAGUUUUCAAUCAAAAAUGACUUGUCCACAACAUGCCAUCCUAUAGGAAAAUCUUUGAUGCAAAACAUGCUUUGUUACUUGUCAUUAGGAGUCUUUUCCAAUUAUUUUCUUUUUAAUGUUUCUUAUUUUACAAAAUUUGUUUCAAAUUGUCCUUUAACCUCAUCUUUAGUUUCAAAUGUCUUUUAUCCAAACUAAUUUCUUUAAUUAUUCUGUAAUGUUGCAUAAGACAAUGAAAAUUAUUAUGAAAAUAAAAUCUUAUCAGUCUUAAGAAUUAGAUUACAAAAUAUUUAUAUAUUAAAUAGAGUUAUGACAGAAUAAAACUACUGAGGACUGACUGAUGAAUUUCUCUUCCACAAAAAAACAACUUAAGGAUCUUGAAAUAGUAAUAAAUUCCUUUAGCAUACUUGACAGUGAAAUGCAAGCAAUUGGAAGUGGAUUAUUUUUAGGGCCAUCUAUAUUAGACCAUUCCUGUGAUCCUAAUGCUGCUGUGACAUUUGAUGGCAGAUUUUUACAUGUAAGAGCAGUAAGAGAUAUUCCUAGUGAAAAUAUUAGAGAUGUAUUUAUUAGUUAUAUUGAUCAAAUGGAAACCAAAGAAACAAAACAACAACAACUUCAAGAACAGUAUUAUUUUACAUGCAGUUGUUCACGAUGUUUUGGUGACUAUUGGGUAAUCCAAGGGAAAUUUUAAAAUUAAGUCUUCCAUUGCUUAAAGAACAAGAAACUGUCAUGCAUCCAAUAAAUGUUCUAUUAGUAAAAAUUCAAGAUAUUAUAUUUGAUGCUUACAUUGAUUUACAAGACUGGGAAGAGGCUUUAGAAAUUGGACUUAAAACUUUAGAUGCGUAUAGGUAUUAUUACAGCGAUUGUCAUCCUUGUCUAGGAAUACAGCUGUUUAGAAUUGGGAAAAUACAGUUAUAUUUAGAAAAGAUAAAAGAUGCUAAUAAGACUCUUAGAAAGGUAU